UGCUCUAUAUUUAACAAACUACUUUGUCUAUGCUGCAAAUGAAUGUUACUCCAACCCCUUCUUUUCUUUCAAACACACAUUGCAUAUCAUCUUCACUUAUACAUGUCUAGCUUCUGUUAUAAUCUUUUUUUUUCUUUUGAAGGUCAAUUGAACUUGAUCAUCUUUCUGAUCCUUCUUAACCAUGUGUGAGAUCUUUUUGUCAGCUAAAACUUCAAAAUUAUAGUUGCAUACCUUUAACAGCAAAAUAUGAAACAGGAGUCUGUCCAAAUGGGUAUCCCAAGAAAACUGAUGGGCUGGAUGGCAUUAAUAGUCUGGACAAAACAGGUCCAAGUAUGGCGACGAGGAACCACCCAAGGAGGCAAUAUUGUUGAGGGCUUUUAGAUUACCAAUGGGAUCUGUGGACGUUCUGUUAACAGGUCUAGGAGACGGCUUUUUACAGCAUUCAAGACACCUCUUGUCUCUGCAAAUUACUGCAUAGAAAAUGUUUCCCCACCCCUUUCAUAUUCACAUACAUGUAAGAAGUACAUUGUUAAUUUCAUUGAGUAAACAGUCUUGUCUUUAGUAACUCACAUUAAAAAACAUAAUUGCACGAUCAACAUUUAAUCUCAAAAUUAGCAAA